GAAGUUAGGUCAGCAAACCCGCUGAAUUUAAGCAUAUAAGUAAGCGGAGGAAAAGAAACUAAAUAGGAUUCCCUCAGUAAUGGCGAAUGAACAGGGAUGAGCUCAGUAUGGAAAUUGGGGCCUGUGGCCUUGAAUUGUAGUCUGGAGAUGUACCACCAACUGGGGCGCAGAUGUAAGCCUCUUGGAAAAGAGCAUCAAUGAGGGUGAGAGUCCCGCUUGGCAUCUGCAGUCCCCAGUGCACGGUGUACCUUCUAAGAGUCACGUUCCUCGGGAUUGGAGCGCAAAUCGGGUGGUAAGUUUCAUCUAAAGCUAAAUAUAGUUUCGAGACCGAUAGCAAACAAGUACCAUGAGGGAAAGGUGAAAAGGACUUUGAAAAGAGAGUUAAAAGUGCCUGAAAUUGCUGAAAGGGAAGCGAAUGGAACCAGCGUAACUUGGCGAGAUUGCUGCGUGUCAAUGUGAUUGCUUGCUGCUUCAACGUAAGUGUUGUAGUAAGUCUUGAACAGGACAUGCGCGGUGCUUCUUGCCUUGUGUGUCACCGUCAGUUCGCAACUGGGGAAAACUUCAGGGACAUGGUAGCCUGUCUCCGGGUGGGUGAACGUGUUUGCUGGAACUCAUUUGCGGAUUGCUUGGUGACUAAAUGGUUCCAUCUGACCCGUCUUGAAACACGGACCAAGGAGUCUAACAUAUGUGCAAGUUCACGGGUGUUAAACCUGCUUGCGUAAUGAAAGUGACUGCUGGGAUUUUUGCACCAGCAACCGACCAAUCAAUUGAGAGAGGUUUGAGUAUGAGCAUAUCUGUUAGGACCCGAAAGAUGGUGAACUAU
rnacentral:rRNA from 1 species